GACGAACGCUGGCGGCGUGCUUAACACAUGCAAGUCGAGCGAACAGGCGCUGCUUGCAGGGUACUCGCGUGGCGAACGGGUGAGUAACACGUAGGUGAUCUGCCCUGCACUUCGGGUUAAGCAUGGGAAACAGGGUCUAACACCGGAUAGGAGAUAUUUUUAGCGUCAUGGUUGGAAAGUUAUUUCGGUGUUGGGUGAGCUGGCGGCCUAUCAGCUUGCUGCGGGGGUUAUGGGCUACCAAGGCGGCGACGGGUAGCCGGCCUGAGAGGGUGGACGGCCACAUUGGGACUGAGAGGCGGCCCAGACUCCGACGGGAGGCAGCAGUGGGGAAGAUUGCACAAUGGGCGCAAGGCUGAUGCAGCGACGCCGCGUGGGGGAUGACGGCCUUCGGGUGGUAGACUCCAUGCGCAAGGGACGAAGCUUUUUGUGACGGUACCUAGACAAGAAGCCCCGGCUAACUACGUG
rnacentral:rRNA from 1 species